rnacentral:tRNA from 1 species
GAGGGUGUAGCUCAGUGGUGGAGUGUGUGCUUAGCAUGCACAAGGUCCUAGGUUCAAUCCCCAGUGCCUCCA